ensembl:lncRNA
CUGCUUACAAGCAGCACAAAGCUCCUAAGCGCGGUAGCCGUGAGGUCUGGCAGCGUUUUUGAAUCGCUGCUUUACGGGCAUGGUAUUUAUAAACAGACCAGAUAGUCAGACUUGUUUCGUGACCCUGCGCUAGUUACAGUAUUACUCUUGACACGGUUUGAGGCUUGCUGAGUUUCGGUUUGACACUCGGAGCCUCGGGGAGGGCCAGAGCUAAUGACACAAAUGCUGAACGUUUUUUAAUCUUUACUUGGAGCAGAGGAUGGGAAUGAGUUACAUUAUGCAGGCAGGCAUCCAGAACUGAGACUGUUUUCUUUGUGUUUGCAGCCCUUUUUUGACAAAUAGAGAUGCAAAAGGAGUACACUAGUCUUUCCCAAAGGAUAGAAUCAAAGUCCAUAAGGCUCUUCUUUGAGAUUGGCAUCGGUCCCAUGUCAGAUGUGUUCCCACAUCCAAGUAACACGUGGACCCAUUCUCACUUGGAAAAUGAGUUCCUGUAAUAUCAGCCUUAAGUCCUUCAGCCUACAAAUUGGAAGGCAGAUUUGCUAUGUCGGUGGUGAUAAGAAGGAAGCUGCAGGAACGUUAAGUAAAGGUAGUUGCUUGUUAAACUGGUAA